AUUGAACGCUGGCGGCAGGCCUAACACAUGCAAGUCGAGCGAGCGGCGGACGGGUGUGUUAUGUCUGGGAAACUGCCUGAAGGAGGGGGAUCACUUCUGGAAACGGUAGCUAAUACCGCAUACCAUCAGAUGUGCCCAGAUGGGAUUAUCGAGUAGGUGGGGUAACGGCUCACCUAGGCGCCGAUCCCUAGCUGGUCUGAGAGGAUGACCACCCACACUGGAACGGAGACACGGUCCAGACGCCGACGGGAGGCAGCAGUGGGGAAUAUUGCACAAUGGGCGCAAGCCUGAUGCAGCCAUGCCGCGUGUAUGAAGAAGGCCUUCGGGUUGUAAAGUACUUUCAGCGGGGAGGCGUUACCCGCAGAAGAAGCACCGGCUAACUCCGUGCCAGCAGCCGCGGUAAUAC
rnacentral:rRNA from 1 species